UUUUGGACAAUGGGCGAAAGCCUGAUCCAGCAAUGCCGCGUGCAGGAAGAAGGCCUUCGGGUUGUAAACUGCUUUUGUACGGAACGAAACGGUCUGCCCUAAUACGGCGGGCUAAUGACGGUACCGUAAGAAUAAGCACCGGCUAACUACGUGCCAGCAGCCGCGGUAAUACGUAGGGUGCGAGCGUUAAUCGGAAUUACUGGGCGUAAAGCGUGGGCAGGCGGUUAUGUAAGACAGUUGUGAAAUCCCCGGGCUCAACCUGGGAAUUGCAUCUGUGACUGCAUAGCUAGAGUACGGUAGAGGGGGAUGGAAUUCCGCGUGUAGCAGUGAAAUGCGUAGAUAUGCGGAGGAACACCGAGGCGAAGGCAAUCCCCGGACCUGUACUGACGCUCAUGCACGAAA
rnacentral:rRNA from 1 species